CUUCAGCGCGCCGAGCCACAGCGGCCGGUCCGCUGGACGGUCCUGACCGUAGGUGGCCAGCAGCGCCUGCGCCUC
rnacentral:antisense_RNA from 2 species